rnacentral:rRNA from 1 species
AUUGAACGCUGGCGGCAGGCUUAACACAUGCAAGUCGAACGAUGAUUAUCUAGCUUGCUAGAUAUGAUUAGUGGCGGACGGGUGAGUAACAUUUAGGAAUCUGCCUAGUAGUGGGGGAUAGCUCGGGGAAACUCGAAUUAAUACUGCAUACGACCUACGGGUGAAAGGGGGCGCAAGCUCUUGCUAUUAGAUGAGCCUAAAUCAGAUUAGCUAGUUGGUGGGGUAAAGGCCCACCAAGGCGACGAUCUGUAACUGGUCUGAGAGGAUGAUCAGUCACACCGGAACUGAGACACGGUCCGGACUCCUACGGGAGGCAGCAGUGGGGAAUAUUGGACAAUGGGGGCAACCCUGAUCCAGCCAUGCCGCGUGUGUGAAGAAGGCCUUUUGGUUGUAAAGCACUUUAAGCAGGGAGGAGAGGCUAAUGGUUAAUACCCAUUAGAUUAGACGUUACCUGCAGAAUAAGCACCGGCUAACUCUGUGCCAGCAGCCGCGGUAAUACAGAGGGUGCGAGCGUUAAUCGGAAUUACUGGGCGUAAAGCGAGUGUAGGUGGCUCAUUAAGUCACAUGUGAAAUCCCCGGGCUUAACCUGGGAACUGCAUGUGAUACUGGUGGUGCUAGAAUAUGUGAGAGGGAAGUAGAAUUCCAGGUGUAGCGGUGAAAUGCGUAGAGAUCUGGAGGAAUACCGAUGGCGAAGGCAGCUUCCUGGCAUAAUAUUGACACUGAGAUUCGAAAGCGUGGGUAGCAAACAGGAUUAGAUACCCUGGUAGUCCACGCCGUAAACGAUGUCUACUAGCCGUUGGGGUCCUUGAGACUUUAGUGGCGCAGUUAACGCGAUAAGUAGACCGCCUGGGGAGUACGGCCGCAAGGUUAAAACUCAAAUGAAUUGACGGGGGCCCGCACAAGCGGUGGAGCAUGUGGUUUAAUUCGAUGCAACGCGAAGAACCUUACCUGGUCUUGACAUAGUGAGAAUCCUGCAGAGAUGCGGGAGUGCCUUCGGGAAUUCACAUACAGGUGCUGCAUGGCUGUCGUCAGCUCGUGUCGUGAGAUGUUGGGUUAAGUCCCGCAACGAGCGCAACCCUUUUCCUUAUUUGCCAGCGGGUUAAGCCGGGAACUUUAAGGAUACUGCCAGUGACAAACUGGAGGAAGGCGGGGACGACGUCAAGUCAUCAUGGCCCUUACGACCAGGGCUACACACGUGCUACAAUGGUAGGUACAGAGGGUUGCUACACAGCGAUGUGAUGCUAAUCUCAAAAAGCCUAUCGUAGUCCGGAUUGGAGUCUGCAACUCGACUCCAUGAAGUCGGAAUCGCUAGUAAUCGCAGAUCAGAAUGCUGCGGUGAAUACGUUCCCGGGCCU